rnacentral:misc_RNA from 1 species
UGGCUCUCGCAUCGAUGAAGAACGCAGCGAAAUGCGAUAAGUAAUGUGAAUUGCAGAAUUCAGUGAAUCAUCGAAUCUUUGAACGCAUCUUGCGCCCCUUGGUAUUCCGAGGGGCAUGCCUGUUUGAGUGUCAUUCGAAUAUCAAGCCCGAAUCGGUUCCCUGUGAACCCCUCUCGGUGUUCUUGGAUGUUGGAGUGUGCGGGGAUGACGUUCCCCGCUCCUCUGAAAAUACAUCAGCGGAAGUUCGAACCAAGGAAACCCUCUGCGGCGUGGUAACCAUCACCGUCGCGCUAGGGGGGGAGCCGAGAACUCUGCUUCAAGCCUGUCGUCCCCUACGCGACAAUCUUCUUGACAUUUUGACCUCAAAUCAGGCAGGAUUACCCGCUGA